UCCUGAGGAAAAANGGCUACCACAUCCAAGGAAGGCAGCAGGCACGCAAAUUACCCAAUCCCAGUUCUGGGAGGUAGUGACGAAAAAUAACAAUGCGGGACUCUUCCGAGUCUGCGUAAUUGGAAUGAGCACACUUUAAAUCCUUUAGCAACAACCAAUUGGAGGGCAAGUCUGGUGCCAGCAGCCGCGGUAAUUCCAGCUCCAAUAGCGUAUAUUAAAGUUGUUGCGGUUAAAAAGCUCGUAGUUCGAGUUCAGUUGCGGACUGGCGUGGAAGGUCACCGCCCGGUGCUUUCCCGUUAGUUUCCGAACAGCUUCCUUGAGUGGAAGCCAAGCCGGUUCUGCCGGGGUGCUCUUUACCGAGUGUCCCGCGCGGCCGGCCAGUUCACCUUGAAUAAAUGAGAGUGCUCAAAGCAGGCUACUCUGGAAUACAAUGCCCGAAUGUUAACUGCAUGGAAUGAUGGAAGAUGAUCUCGGUUCCAUUUUGUUGGUGGUGGGAGCCCGAGGUAAUGAUAAACAGGGACUGUCGGGGGCAUCCGUACUACGACGCGAGAGGUGAAAUUUNGGGACCGUCA
rnacentral:rRNA from 1 species